rnacentral:lncRNA from 1 species
UUGGUUCUUAUAAAAUGGAUUUGGUUUGGAUAGAUGAACCAAAACCAUUUCCAAACCAUAUAUUAAUAAAUGUGGUUAUGGUUUUAGUUUGAAUUUUGGGUAACUAGUUUAGUAAGUAAAAAUAAGUAUUAUAUCAUGAACAAAAGUUAAUACACUCAAAUCACAAUAUAAUAAAUACUAAAUAUAACAAAAGUAUGUGUGAGUGUGUGAGUUGAUGGAGUG